CUGGCUAGUGACAGCCAAGAAACAACAUUGUUUUUUGAUCUUUUGAUGUCGGAUCUUCCUACUAAAACUGAAGCAGAAUUCAGCAAGCGUCGGAUUGUUCCCCCACAAAUAGGGAAGAUGAGUUGGGCUUAGACUGUCGUGAUACAAAUA
rfam:Lobosporangium transversale strain NRRL 3116 BCR41scaffold_6, whole genome shotgun sequence.